GUGGGGAAUAUUGGGCAAUGGGGGGAACCCUGAUCCAGCCAUGCCGCGUGUGUGAAGAUGGCCUUUUGGUUGUAAAGCACUUUAAGCGGGGAGGAGGCUCUUGAGGAUAAUACCCUUGAUGAGUGGACGUUACCCGCAGAAUAAGCACCGGCUAACUCUGUGCCAGCAGCCGCGGUAAUACAGAGGGUGCGAGCGUUAAUCGGAUUUACUGGGCGUAAAGCGUGCGUAGGCGGCUGAAUAAGUCGGAUGUGAAAUCCCCGAGCUUAACUUGGGAAUUGCAUACGAUACUGUUUGGCUAGAGUAUGGGAGAGGAUGGUAGAAUUCCAGGUGUAGCGGUGAAAUGCGUAGAGAUCUGGAGGAAUACCGAUGGCGAAGGCAGCCAUCUGGCCUAAUACUGACGCUGAGGUACGAAAGCAUGGGGAGCAAACAGGAUUAGAAACCCCUGUAGUCC
rnacentral:rRNA from 1 species